CUACGGGCCGCUCCAGGCGAGAAAACUUUGCAAUGUGCGAAAGCACGACAAGGUUAAUCCGAGUGGUUUCUGCUAAAGGAACCUUUUGACAGUCCUAGAAACACUGUUGAAUAAGGGGUGGGCAAGUUCUGGUGUCAGCCGCCGCGGUAAAACCAGCACCUCAAGUGGUCAGGAUGAUUAUUGGGCCUAAAGCAUCCGUAGCCGGCUCUGUUAGUUUUCGGUUAAAUCUGUACGCUCAACGUACAGGCUGCCGGGAAUACUGCAGAGCUAGGGAGUGGGAGAGGUAGACGGUACUCGGUAGGAAGGGGUAAAAUCCUUUGAUCUAUUGAUGACCACCUGUGGCGAAGGCGGUCUACCAGAACACGUCCGACGGUGAGGGAUGAAAGCUGGGGGAGCAAACCGGAUUAGAUACCCGCGUAGUC
rnacentral:rRNA from 1 species